rnacentral:rRNA from 1 species
AUGCACUGGUUCCCCGCGAGCGAAUAUUCCGCCCAGAUGCGAAACCAAGUCAUACCUCAGAAACGGCCGGACCACGCGAAACGGCUGCCUCCCUCGCACUCGUCCUCAGCCCACAGCUCGACGGAAGGACUCCAAGCAGCGGGUGCUCGACGGCCGGAAUCGAACUGUGAAGACGAGGAGAAUGGUGAGGUGAACACGUCACCAAAUGUUGGUGAGUCUUCUGACCCCAAAGCACCACCCAAAAAGAAGGCUAAGGUAAAGAACAUUGUUGAUGAUCCACUAGUUACCACUCUCAAAGAUGGGUUCAAACUUGUGGCUGAAGCGCUUGCUAAGUCUAGUGGAGAUGAUGAUGAUAUACCCGACGACCUUUGGGAUGUAGUGUCUGUAUUGCCAGAUUUUGAUGAAGAGCACCUAGCCCACUACUAUGCCCAUCUUGUGGACAACCCCAAGACAGCAAGAGCCUUCAUGAAACUUACCCAAAUCAACAAGUCUUUUUGGGUGAGUAGGUAUGUGAAGAAGAACUUCUAA